UUUCAGAAUUCUAACACGGUAGCACCGCCGUGCUCUGACGACGGCACCGCCACCCGCAGUGGUAAUUUACCUUGACCUGGCCAUUUUCGACCAGUUUUGGCCUGUUUCAGUCGAUUUUAUACCCAUCCUUGUGAAAAAAUACGGUAGGAGGCCUCAGUUGGCCAAAAAAAGUCAAAAAAUAAAAACCUACCUGCGGUGGGAUUUUU
rnacentral:lncRNA from 1 species